rnacentral:rRNA from 1 species
AAGCGUUAUCCGGAUUGAUUGGGCGUAAAGCGUCUGUAGGUGGCUUUUUAAGUCCGCUGUGAAAUCCCAGGGCUCAACUCUGGACAGGCGGUGGAAACUACCAAGCUGGAGUACGGUAGGGGCAGAGGGAAUUUCCGGUGGAGCGGUGAAAUGCGUAGAGAUCGGAAGGAACACCAACGGCGAAAGCACUCUGCUGGGCCGACACUGACACUGAGAGACAAAAGCUAGGGGAGCGAAUGGG